AACACCUAAAAAACAGAGAAAAGUUAAAGUAAAAAGACUGCAAAAGUUUAAAAACGAAUGGAAAAGUAAAUUUCCAUGGCUUGAAAAAGAUGAAGAUCAGUUUAAAGCAAAAUGUUCUAUCUAUGCAAUAACUUUUUCAAUUGAUAAAAGUGGCAUAGGUCAAAUAAAACAGCAUAGUGAAUCUAACACGCACGCUAGUAAAUUAAAAAUUACUCAACAAUCUUCAAUCUUAAAUAAUUUUCUACAAUUGGGUACUGCUGAAUCAAACGAAUCUAAACAAACAACGGCUGCUGAGUUAGCCUUAGUUUACCAUACAGUAAAGCACAACCUUUCAUAUAACAGUGCAGAUUGCGGUGCCAAACUUAAUAAAUUACUUUAUGCCGAAUCUAAAAACGAUAAAACCAUUCAAUUGGGUCGAACGAAACAAGCAGCAGUUGUCGAAAAUGUUCUGGGCCAAUGUGCAUUGAAACAAGCUCUGACACAUAUAAAAAAUAAAAGUGAAUUAACGUUACCGAAAAAAUGUAAAACUAUUCCCUCUUGUUAUUCAGUACUUCGAUACAAAAGCAGGAAUCCAGCAAAAGCUUUUAGACUUUUAUGAAAAUCCAGAUGAAUCAGCAGAUGGAAUGUUCACAGCAGUAAAAGAUUCGUUAACGCGUAAUAAUCUAUCGCUUGAUAAAAUAAUUGCGCUUAGUGCCGACAAUGUAAAUGCUAAUUUUGGAAAAAACCAUUCGCUUUUCACAAACAUUGAGAAAAUAGUGCCACAUUUAAUAAAAUGCAAUUGCCAUGCACACAUUGUUCACAACAAUGUUAAAUACGGAAUGAACUUUUUAAAUUGCGAUGUCGAAAACAUCAUCCUUAAAAUAUAUAGCCACUUCUCUGUUUCUGCCUCUAGAAGAGAGGAGCUUAAAAAAUUCGUGGCAGAAGUGAAUGGGCAAUGGCAUGAGAUUAAGCGUCACAUAGGAACAAGAUGGCUCUCUUUGUUGCCUGCAGUCGAUCAUAUAUUAAUGAAUUGGACUCCCAUAACGAAUUACUUUCGCAAACUGGAUGAUAAAUGCCCAACACAAAUUCGUCAACUUUUAAAGCUUGAAGAAGAUAUUUUAAAUAUACAAGUAAGUUUUUUUAAAUAUGGUCAGCCACGUUUUGAAUGUUUUCGACAAAACAAUUAAAAAACUGGAAAGAAAUUACACAACAGUGCUUGAUUUGUAUGGAGCAAUGGAAAAAUUGAAGUUUGAGCUCAAUAAAGGAAGCAAGAUAAAUAUUUUGGUUACGAAACCAAUAAAUUAUUAAAAUAUAUUAGAAGCGAAAAUCCUCUUCUUCACAAAGAAACAGAGAACAAUUUUGUGUUAUUUUUAGAGCAAUGUCUCGCAUAUCUUAAAAAGAGGUUUGAUUUUAACGAGGAAAAUUGGUUGUACCACAUAAAAAAUUUGAAUUUUGAAAAAGAACUCAAAUUUGAAGAUGUAGAAAAAAUUAUCGAUAUUUUAUUUUUAAAAACUAAACUUAACAUAGAUAUGGAUGUACAGUAUUCUGAAAUAAUCAGCGUAAAUGAAAUUUAUUCAAAAAUCAAAAACUGUGAAAAAUUUAAAAAUCUUUACAUAGUUGAGAAAUGGCAACAAAUUUUAAAUUCAGACUCAGAAGAGAUUUUUUUAAAUUUAAAAAUUGUUUCGCUUUUGCUUUCCAUUCCAGCAUCCUCCGCAGUUUUUUUAAAGAAUAUUUUCAAUUGCUAACACAAAAUGGAGGGAUGAAAGAAAUAGAUCUCAUACAGACUUAAUAAAAAAUGAACUGAUUAUAACUUGUAAUUUAACAUUUGCCUGUAAUGAAGCCUUAAGCACAUUUUUAAAAGACUCGAAUUUGUUAAAAGCUGCUGAAAGCAAUACAAAAUAUAAUUAAUAAUAAUAUGUAUUGAUAAAUACACUAGUAGCCAAUAAAAUAGACUCGCGACUUAUUCAUAAGAUUUGACUAUUUUUCUUUUGUUUGUUAAGGGUAUAUUAGGCAGGUUCUGGAAUUCACUUCAGAGUGAAUAUCAAACAAAAUUCGUUUUCAAUCCGGCAUUUGGUGUUCUGUGUUUCACUUUCACAAUUUCAAUUCCACACAUUUUCUAAAAUGAAUUCCGAGUGAAUACGCAUGUUCUGGAAAACGAAUUCACAAGAAAAAAUUCGGUUAGCAUUCACAUCAGUUUCAAUUUGCGGAUUUGGUGUAUAAAAGAAAUGGGCAAACACAAGAAUGCAACCCAAGAAGCAAUCCUUCUUCAAUUUAUGGAGAAGCACAGCAAUAUCGCCCGAGGAUUUGUCAAAGGCGACAAAAUAAAAGUAGACGCGCUAUGGAGAGAUUUAGUGGCAGAUUUACAUAAAAAUGGUCCCCCCCAAAAAGAUGUAUCUGGCUGGAAAAAGGUUUGGAUGGACUGGAAGGCCUUUAUCAGAAAGAAAGUGGCGCAUAAUACUUCCGAGGCCAGAGCAACCGGGGGAGGACCGUUCAAUAAGCAUGUCUUUACUCCGACAGAAGACGUGAUUGCCCAAUUAUGCGGCAUAUAUACAGUGGUAGAAGGCGUGCCUAAUACGCAGAGCUUUGGUGUUCCAUCAGAGAGGAAUGACUCAGCUUCUGACACUCCCGAUGGUGAAGAGCCUCUUCCCUCCACUAGCAAUGUCGCCGCUGCGGGGCGGUCUCGCAG